ACCCUUGCUCAGAACGCUUGACUUUGGGACUUCCUGUCCGCACUCGCGGCCCCUAACCUGCCCCGGGAGCCCGGGAGUGCGGCUUGGGAAGGAGGGAAAGGAGUGUGUGAGCAGGGAUUGGCCCGAACCUAUCUCCACGCUCUCCCCCGGGACUGGAGGUGAAGGGGGGCGUGGAGAAAAUCUCAGGGAACAGGGGCUUCGACAGGGGGCUCCCGCCCGCCCGAGCCCCCUCCCCAAAAUGCGAGGCCUGCACAGUAUGCCUUCUCCGCAAAACCUCGGCAAGCGGGUUAGUGAAUUCAGGUCACUAAGAAGCUGAGCCCGCGGAAAGCUGCCCAAACACCCCCUUCUCUAGGGGACUCCCCACGCCCCCCGCCGGGACGCGUUCCCGAAGUCGCCGCCUGGACUGCAACCGCGUGGCCUGCGCCGCGUCCUCUUCUCCGCAGCCUCCGAGGCCCGUGCGACCAAGCUGAAACCGCUUAUUCUCCGGAGCCCCUAUGACCCCGGGUGGGGGCCAGGGCUCGCCUCGAUCGCAGCCCGUGCGCCCUCCGGACUCCAGUUCGCCGGGACUGGGCGACACCAGAAGCGGCUAGUGUGAGUGAAACAAACGGGAAAUUUGCUCUGGCCCGCCUGCCCAGCCACCCACGGCUGCCUGUUGGCCAAUCACCAUUUGACCAGUCCAGGAAGAGCAACUGUGGCAGGCCUGAUUUCCUGGGAGGCCCCAGACUCCCUUUGCCUACCUCUUCCUCUCUGACCCCAUCCUCGCUUUGAUGCCCGGGACCUGCUACCCAGGUACGUGGGUCUUCUCUGCCGGAUGUGGACAUCUUGGCCUCUCGCCUUGGUGCCUACUCUUGGGAAGCGGGUCCAGACAUCUCUCCUGCAGGAAGAGAGGAAGGGUUAAUUACAGGCGUUGGGGAUAAUUAAAGCCUUUGACCAAGAGGAUGGGAGGAGAGCCUUGGUCCUCUGAGAGCCUGUGAGUGUGCAAGUGCCUGUGAGAAUAAGUGCAUGUGUAUGAGGGUGUGAGAUUUUGUUGAAUGUGCAUUCGUGUGUAUAGACAUGAGAGUGUUGAUGUAUGUAUGACUGUGUGUGAGUGUGUGUAUGGACAUAAGUGUUGUAUGUGACUGGGCAGGGUGGCUCAGGCCUGUAAUUCCAGCACUUUGGGAGGCCGAGGCAGGCAGAUCAUUUGAGGUCAGGAGCUCCAGACAUGCCUGGCCAACAUGGUGAAACCCCGUCUCUACUAAAAAUACAAAAAAAUUAGCUGGGCGUGGUGCCACUCACCUGUAAUCCCAUCUACUAAGGAGGCUAAGGCAGGAGAAUCACUUGAACCCCAGAGGCAGAGAUUGCAGUGAGCCGAGAUUGCGCCACUCACUGCACUCCAGCCUGGGCCAGCAAGACUCUGUCUCAAAAAAAAAAAGAAAAAAGUGUUGGUAUAUGUGUGUAUAAGUGUGUGUGCAUGGGCAUGAGAGGAUUUGGGUAUGAGUGUGUGUCUGUGUGUGUUUUUGUGGAUUGUGUGGAUGUGUCUAGAUGUGUGUAUGAGUGUGCAUGUGGGUGUGAGAGAUUUGUGUAUGAGUGCAUGUGAGUGUGGAUUUGUGUAUGCAUGUAUUUGUGAGUGUGCCAUACUUCACAGUAGAUGUGGAGUCAGCCCAUGAGUUUCUGAACAAGUUAUUUCACUUUUCUGAGCCUCAGUUUGCUCCUGGAAAGAUGUAAAGCCUAUUUAGGAGAGUUACUGUAAAGAUCAAAUAAAGUCAUGCAUGUAAACCA
rnacentral:lncRNA from 1 species